rnacentral:rRNA from 1 species
GAUGAACGCUGGCGGCGUGCCUAAUACAUGCAAGUCGAGCGAACGGACGAGAAGCUUGCUUCUUUGAUGUUAGCGGCGGACGGGUGAGUAACACGUGGAUAACCUACCUAUAAGACUGGGAUAACUUCGGGAAACCGGAGCUAAUACCGGAUAAUAUUUUGAACCGCAUGGUUCAAAAGUGAAAGACGGUCUUGCUGUCACUUAUAGAUGGAUCCGCGCUGCAUUAGCUAGUUGGUAAGGUAACGGCUUACCAAGGCAACGAUGCAUAGCCGACCUGAGAGGGUGAUCGGCCACACUGGAACUGAGACACGGUCCAGACUCCUACGGGAGGCAGCAGUAGGGAAUCUUCCGCAAUGGGGGGAAGCCUGACGGAGCAACGCCGCGUGAGUGAUGAAGGUCUUCGGAUCGUAAAACUCUGUUAUUAGGGAAGAACAUAUGUGUAAGUAACUGUGCACAUCUUGACGGUAACUAAUCAGAAAGCCACGGCUAACUACGUG